GGACGGAAAACGAAACAAAUUUCCACUCAGUAAGAACAGAAGAAAGAGGAGGAGGGUGUAGUAGAGGAAGCAGAGGGUGAAGUAGAAGAAGCAGGCGAUGUAAGAGAAGAGGAGGAAAGAGGUCCAGUGGAGAGGCUCCAAGGAACUGGAGUGCCCAUGCCUUCAAUAAGACUGCAUGCACAAACACCAAGGAGGGCAGGAAGUCCUGAAAGAGCAGGAGGUGAGCAAGACAUCGUAACCAUUGUGGAUAGAUCUUUGAAAAUGAAUGAAAUUCAUGGUCUGAGAAAGGACUUCACAUGCCACCCCAAUGAGCCUAUUGUCACCUGGUUAUUUCGAUGCUGGGACAAUGGGGCCAACAGUGUGUGGCUAGAUAGCAGAGAAGCUCGUCAGCUUGGUGGCAUUGCUAGGGACUCAGCCAUUGACAGACGUAUUAGCACAUGCCAGACCAGGCCUUCACCCUCUGGAAGCGGAUGUUGUUAGCAGUGAGAAAAAAACACCCCUUUAAAGAUGAUCUCAUGCCCGAGAAAAGGAAAUGGACUGAUAUGGAAAAAGGCAUCUGUUAUUUGAGAGAAUGUGCCGUGGUGGAAAUGAUGUACAGCCCUGACUUCAUCCCUGACGAGCCAGACCAAGAGCAUGAUCCUGAGAGAGUCCAGUGUACACCAAAUAUGUGGCGCACAUUCACUAAGACUGCACCAGAAAGGUAUGCCAGUACAUUUGCAGCAAUGUAUGGCAGAGGGGAAAGAAGACCCCUUAUAGAUGAUCUGGUUAAUAAACUCCAAGACUUUGAGUUGCAUUUAAACCCUCCACGGGAAGAGCUGAUUAACAUGGGGUCCUCCCGACCUACAUCAUCCAACAUCUCAGCCAUCAAAAGGGGACGUCCUCCAGCUAGAGGAAAUGAUAACGGUAAGACUAUAACAUGUCUUGCCUUGUGGCGUUACCUGCGUGACCAUGGAGAAGAUAUGAAGAAGUGGCAUAAGAAACCCACUUCUGCACUUAAAGCACGGAUAAAAGAAUUACAAGACAAAUCAACCACCAAGGUGAAGUCCUCCAAAAGGGUGAUCGCUCCAGUUGCUGCAGACAACCAAGGUAACAAAUAGAGGGGCCCUGCCCCCAGCCAGGAGGGGGAAAGGGAUAAUAGAGUGUAUUGGACUGUGUGGAUUAGAUGGCCUGGCACAUCAAACCCACAGAAAUUUAAGGCACUGGUAGACACUGAUGCACAGUGUACGCUAAUGCCCUUGAGUCACCAAGGGACAGAAUCAGUUUAUAUUCAUGGGGUGACUGGGGGUUCCCAAGAGUUGACUAUGUUGGAGUUUGAAAUAAGUCUCACUGGCAAAGACUGGCAAAAGCAUCCUAUUGUGACUGGUCCAGGGGAUCCAUGUAUACUUGUUAUUGAUUACCUCAGAAGGGGAUACUUUAAGGAUCCCAAAGGGUAUCAAUGGGCCUUUGGAAUAGCUGCUGUAGACACAGAAGGUGUUAAACAGUUGUCUGCAUUGCCUGGCCUAUCAGAAGAUCCGUCUGUUGUGGGUUUGCUAUGAGUAAAAGAGCAACAGGUACCGAUUGCUACAAAAAACGGUACACAGACGGCAGUACCGCACUAACAGGGACUCCUUGCUCCCCAUUCAGAAGUUGAUUCAUCAACUAGAGAGUCAGGGAGUGAUCAGCAAAACUCACUCACCUUUCAACAGCCCCAUAUGGCCAGUGCGUAAAGCCAGUGGAGAAUGGAGGCUGACAGUAGACUACCGCGGCCUGAAUGAAGUCACACCCCCACUGAGUGCUGCUGUGCCGGACAUGUUAGAACUCCAAUAUGAACUGGAGUCAAAAGCAGUCAAGUGGUAUGCCACCACUGACAUUGCUAAUGCUUUCUUUUCCAUUCCAUUGAUCACGGAAUGUAGGCCACAGUUUGCUUUCACCUGGAGGGGCGUUCAGUAUACCUGGAAUCGUUUGCCCCAGGGGUGGAAACACAGCCCAACAAGUUGCCAUGGGUUGAUUCAAGCUGCACUGGAACAGGGAGGUGCUCCUGAGCACUUACAGUACAUUGACGAUAUUAUUGUGUGGGGCAAUACAGCAAGUGAAGUUUUUGAGAAGGGUGAGCAAG
ensembl:lncRNA